AGGCUCAGGUGAUCCUCCAGCCUCAGCCUCAGCCUCCCAAGUACUAGAAGUACUAGGACUACAGACACAUGCCACGCCUGGCUAAUUUUUUUGUUUUUUUUUUUUUGAGACUGGGUCUGGCUAUGCUGCCCAGGCUAAGCAAUACUUAUUUUCCUUAUUUUUAUUCUAAUAAGAUUCCAGAAUCUUCCCCUUUCACAUGUCUUCCUAGCCAGAUGAGUAAGAGCAAGGAGGAGUGGUGAUGUUAAUAACAGAGUGACACAGCCAUUGAGGGCCUUUCAUUGGCAGAUUUCUUAACCAAGAGCAGCUGUGCCCAUUUUACAGGAGGAACAACUGAGACAAAGAGGAGUGAGGUCACUAUGAGUCACUGGCCUUUCUGGCCUAACUCAGACUAGGCUCAAUAUGGCUGAGCCAAAGAGACAGAGCAGGCUGGGGGUGGGGAUGGAAAGAAACUCUGGUUCUUCAAAGAGAGUUGACUGUCCUUGUUGGCCUUAGACAUCACCCCUUCCCUUUAUUCAGUGCCUGCCUGAUUAGAGCUGGACAUACAGGAUCUCAUCUGCUCCCACAACCACCAUCUAAAAUAGGCAGAGCAGGUUUUACUUGCCCUGUGUUAGUUACAGACAAGGAAACAGAGUUACAGACAAGGAAACAGAGUCAGCAAGAUUAGGAGCCUUGUCCAGUUCCACAGCUGGUCAGGCCCAGGGAGACCAGGCCUCUGGACACCAGCUCAAGAUGCAGGCUUAUCUGCGAUUCCCAAGCUUAUACCAGGCCUGACUCUGUUUCCAGCGAAAGAACCCCAGGACAUAAUGUUUCUGAGCUGAGUGUUAGAUGGAUCAGGGGCUAAGGAUUUGGGAGGACCUUUCUUGAAAUUAACAGCUGCUUCGAGAGUGAGGCUUCCGACCCGCCCUUUAUUUCCUCUGGGCCUGGUUUGGCAGACCUCCACCCCCAGCCCACAAUCCCGGGUGGACAGAGGUAGUUCUCUCCAGCUUUUGGAGACCUCGGGGAGGAAGAAGCCUCGCUCACCCACUCCUAGACAGUGUGUGUGAGCCCUCAGGCACCCAGGGUGGGCAAUGCUUCCCAGGCAGAGAGGGCGUGCAAUGCAAGUGAGGUGUCCAUUAGACAGACCCAGGGCACUCCAAGCCCCAUAGAGUGACUCACUUUCUUUCUUGGCACCCCCAAACGACUCUACCUUCCUCAGCAGGUCUUGUGAAGGUGCAGUGACACGAUGUGCAUGAAAGAGCCUCGAGCAGGGCCUCGUGCACAACCUCCUGCUCCAGAUGCCUGGCUUCUCCAGGGCACCCCGAUGGGUGGCUCUGCCACCCCAGGACACUGGACUGGGGCCACCCUUACAGAACCGGUUCGAAGCCAAACAAUGGCACGUCGCAGUCCAGCUGAGCCGGAGGCCUCAGCAGGGUAAGCACAAGUGAGGCUGUGGCCAAGAGGGGCAUAGGUGCCAGGGACUCAGGCGGGCACGCACAAGUGCCAGCAAGCCCUCACUGCCUAACAUGGCAGCCCCAUGGCUUCCUCUCUUCCCCGUGACCUGACUGCAGCUUUGAGGACAGCACUUGCCCUCCCCUCCCAGGCAGCAGUCCCCUUCCCUGGCCCCAGAGGUGAAGGAGGGCGACUUCCCCGGGGAGAGGAAACAGAAUGACGGCCUGCAGCUUUCC
rnacentral:lncRNA from 1 species